rnacentral:rRNA from 1 species
UACAGAGGUCUCGAGCGUUAGGCGGAAUCACUGGGCUUAAAGCGUGCGCAGGCGGCUUUGCAAGACAGAUGUGAAAUCCCCGGGCUUAACCUGGGAACUGCAUUUGUGACUGCAUGGCUGGAGUGCGGCAGAGGGGGAUGGAAUUCCGCGUGUAGCAGUGAAAUGCGUAGAUAUGCGGAGGAACACCGAUGGCGAAGGCAAUCCCCUGGGCCUGCACUGACGCUCAUGCACGAAAGCGUGGGGAGCAAACAGG